CGCUGGGCGGCGUGCCUAAUACAUGCAAGUCGAACGCACAGCGAUAGGUGCUUGCACCUAUCAAGUGAGUGGCGAACGGGUGAGUAACACGUGGACAACCUGCCUCAAGGCUGGGGAUAACAUUUGGAAACAGAUGCUAAUACCGAAUAAAACUUAGUGUCGCAUGACACCAGGUUAAAAGGCGCUACGGCGUCACCUAGAGAUGGAUCCGCGGUGCAUUAGUUAGUUGGUGAGGUAAAGGCUCACCAAGACAAUGAUGCAUAGCCGAGUUGAGAGACUGAUCGGCCACAUUGGGACUGAGACACGGCCCAAACUCCUACGGGAGGCUGCAGUAGGGAAUCUUCCACAAUGGGCGCAAGCCUGAUGGAGCAACGCCGCGUGUGUGAUGAAGGCUUUCGGGUCGUAAAGCACUGUUGUAUGGGAAGAACAGCUAGAAUAGGGAAUGAUUUUAGUGUGACGGUACCAUACCAGAAAGGGACGGCUAAAUACGUG
rnacentral:rRNA from 1 species